rnacentral:ncRNA from 1 species
AAAUUUUUUAAAUUAGAUAACCCAAGUGAGAAUGCUGACAUGAGUAACGAAAAAGGGGAAUACCCUCGCCUUAAGCUUAUGGAAUUUCUUUAAAGUAACGGCCUCUAAGUUUACAGACCUGCCCUAAAGGAUUAAACGAUGAGAAAAUCUUUCCUUAUGUAAUAACCUUAGAAUUAGAGUACUAAGUGUUCUGGAAAAAAAAUAAGGGUAUUGCAUGGCUGGAAAUAAACUGAAAUAGAUGAUACAGUCUGCAAGUUCCAAAACCGUACCUAGAAACUACCACCAGUAAGCGAGUAGAGAAUACGAAGGCGUUUGAGCUAACAAUCAUUAAGGAACUCGGCAAAUUGACUCCGUAACUGAGGGAUAAGGAGUGCCAUUCUAACUGAUUAAUAUCAGGUUUAGAAGAGGAGGCACAGAAUGGUGUUGUACGACUGUUUAAUUAA